rnacentral:tRNA from 1 species
GCCAAAGUGGUGGAAUUGGUAGACACGCACGACUCAAAAUCGUGUGGGCUUUCGCUCAUGUGGGUUCGAUUCCCACCUUUGGCACCA